GAUGAACGCUGGCGGCGUGCCUAAUACAUGCAAGUCGAGCGAACAGACGAGGAGCUUGCUCCUCUGACGUUAGCGGCGGACGGGUGAGUAACACGUGGAUAACCUACCUAUAAGACUGGGAUAACUUCGGGAAACCGGAGCUAAUACCGGAUAAUAUAUUGAACCGCAUGGUUCAAUAGUGAAAGACGGUUUUGCUGUCACUUAUAGAUGGAUCCGCGCCGCAUUAGCUAGUUGGUAAGGUAACGGCUUACCAAGGCAACGAUGCGUAGCCGACCUGAGAGGGUGAUCGGCCACACUGGAACUGAGACACGGUCCAGACUCCUACGGGAGGCAGCAGUAGGGAAUCUUCCGCAAUGGGCGAAAGCCUGACGGAGCAACGCCGCGUGAGUGAUGAAGGUCUUCGGAUCGUAAAACUCUGUUAUUAGGGAAGAACAAAUGUGUAAGUAACUAUGCACGUCUUGACGGUACCUAAUCAGAAAGCCCCGGCUACCUACGUG
rnacentral:rRNA from 1 species